rnacentral:tRNA from 1 species
CGCCUCUGGAGAGACUCGAACUCUCGACCUUUCGGUUAACAGCCGAACGCGUUAACCACUGCGCUACAGAGGC